UACGAGGGGUCCAAGCGUUGUUCGGAAUCAUUGGGCGUAAAGCGGGUGUAGGCGGCUCUAUAAGUCAGGCGUGAAAGCCCCAAGCUUAACUUGGGAAGUGCUUUUGAUACUGCAGAGCUUGAAUGUGGGAGAGGGUAGUGGAAUUCCAGGUGUAGCGGUGAAAUGCGUAGAUAUCUGGAGGAACACCGGUGGCGAAGGCGGCAUCCUGGACCGACAUUGACGCUGAGGCGCGAAAGCCAGGGGAGCAAACGGG
rnacentral:rRNA from 1 species